UAGGGAAUCUUCCACAAUGGACGCAAGUCUGAUGGAGCAACGCCGCGUGAGUGAAGAAGGUUUUCGGACCGUAAAGCUCUGUUGUUGGUGAAGAAGGAUAGAGGUAGUAACUGGCCUUUAUUUGACGGUAAUCAACCAGAAAGUCACGGCUAACUACGUGCCAGCAGCCGCGGUAAUACGUAGGUGGCAAGCGUUGUCCGGAUUUAUUGGGCGUAAAGCGAGCGCAGGCGGAAGAAUAAGUCUGAUGUGAAAGCCCUCGGCUUAACCGAGGAAUUGCAUCGGAAACUGUUUUCUUGAGUGCAGAAGAGGAGAGUAGAACUCCAUGUGUAGCGGUGGAAUGCGUAGAUAUAUGGAAGAAUACCAGUGGCGAAGGCGGCUCUCUGGUCUGCAACUGACGCUGAGGCUCGAAAGCACGGGUAGCGAACAGGAUUAGAUACCCUGGUAGUCCAUGCCGUAAACGAUGAGUGCUAAGUGUUGGGAGGCUUCCGCCUCUCAGUGCUGCAGCUAACGCAUUAAGCACUCCGCCUGGGGGAGUACGACCGCAAGGUUGAAAC
rnacentral:rRNA from 1 species